GUAUUUGAGCUGGGAUGGACGCAUUUGUUUCCCGUCCGAAGGACCCCGCAACCGGUUCGGAAACGGCCUUAAGGAUGAUCGAUGGCAGUUGGCCGGUGGCUCAUUAUUCGUGGGUCGUCGGCUGUUAGCCGGUUGUCGUCUUGGCUCGUGGCCGGACCGUGGUGUCGCAAGGCCUGUUAUAGGCUGCUUCGCCUCCUCCGUUCGCGGACGCCGGGAUCCCGUGGCAGGGGUUCGCACUUCUGCGGGCGCACGGACAGACUCCGUGGCCCAGCGGUCGCGAUGCGUCCUCGAUGGCUGCGGCUGAACCCGUCGGAGGUUGGCGGUUAGCGGGGAGUAGAUCGGUCACCCACCCGACCCGUCUUGAAACACGGACCAAGGAGUCUAACAUGUAUGCGAGUCAAUGGGUCUCGAUUAAGCCCAGAGGCGCAAUGAAAGUAAAGAUCGGACACGACGCCGAUCGAGUUGGGAUCCAGUAUUCAAUAGAUGCUGGCGCACCAACGGCCCGUUCUGUACAGUUUACUGUUGGAGCGGAGUCUGAGCAUACACGUUGGGACCCGAAAGAUGGUGAACUAUGCCCGGGCAGGACGAGGCCAGAGGAAACUCUGGUGGAGGUCCGCAGCGGUUCUGAC
rnacentral:rRNA from 1 species